AUAAUAUUUUUAUUAGAA
rnacentral:tRNA from 1 species